CGGCACAGGUAGUGAAUGGCUGUUGAAUGGAAAGGCUGGAAUUGAGGUCAGACAGACCCACUCGCGGCGGGAUCUCCCAUUGCUGCUCCAUCGAGGGACCCGGAGCUACGGGAGGUGGAGUGAGAGGCGUGGAGGGUGGCCGGGCGGCAGCGGGGCACUGGCCCUUUAAGGAGGAGCGCGGGGCGCGGCCCAGGUAAGGGGCGGGUCCGCCGGGCGGAUGAGCGCUGCGCGCCGGCGCCGGCCCGGGAGCCGGAUUUGGAGUACGCGGCGCCGGCUGGGCCGUAGAGGGCGGCGCGGCGGAGCCUCCAGUGGCUUCGGACGCUCCUUCUCGCCCGCGGCCGCCGCCCGCCUCCGCCUGCUCCUCCGUCCUGGCCGGGCCCGGCCGCCACUUCCGGCCGCUCACCUGGGACGCGCUCACCUGCCUCCGGGCGCCUGGGCACCAGGAUGAAGGACCGGCUGGAGCAGCUGAAGGCCAAGCAGCUGACACAGGAUGAUGAUGCCGAUGAGGUCGAGAUUGCUAUUGACAACACAGCUUUCAUGGACGAGUUCUUUUCUGAGAUCGAGGAAACUCGACUCAACAUUGACAAGAUCUCAGAGCACGUGGAGGAAGCUAAGAAGCUCUACAGUGUCAUUCUGUCUGCACCCAUUCCAGAGCCAAAAACCAAGGAUGACCUGGAGCAGCUCACGACUGAGAUCAAGAAAAGGGCCAACAAUGUCCGGAACAAACUGAAGAGCAUGGAGAGGUGUAUUGAAGAAGACGAGGUCCGGUCGUCAGCAGACCUUCGGAUUCGGAAAUCCCAGCACUCCGUCCUCUCCCGGAAGUUUGUGGAAGUGAUGACCAAAUACAACGAGGCCCAGGUGGACUUCCGUGAACGCAGCAAAGGGCGAAUCCAGCGGCAGCUCGAGAUCACCGGCAGGAAGACAACAGAUGGAGAGCUGGAGGAGAUGCUGGAGAGUGGGAACCCUGCCAUCUUCACCUCGGGGAUCAUCGACUCUCAGAUUUCCAAGCAAGCCCUCAGUGAGAUCGAGGGACGGCACAAGGACAUCGUGAGGCUGGAGAGCAGCAUCAAGGAGCUUCACGACAUGUUCGUGGACAUCGCCAUGCUGGUGGAGAACCAGGGUGAGAUGUUAGAUAACAUAGAGUUGAAUGUCAUGCACACGGUGGACCACGUGGAGAAGGCUCGGGAGGAAACAAAAAGAGCCGUGAAGUACCAGGGUCAGGCCCGGAAGAAAUUGAUAAUUAUCAUUGUGGUAGUGGUUGUGUUGCUGGGCAUUUUAGCGUUGGUUAUUGGACUUUCCGUUGGGCUGAAGUAAGGGCGGCCCGGGAGGCUGCUGCCCUGAAAUGUGUGUGGCUUGUGGUCGAGUCUUACUGUUCUCCGCCGCCACCCUGGGCGCUGACCAGCUCCUCCUCCCCCUGCCUCUUGUAGAGCCCAUUUCACCCCAGCCUGAUGUGGCCGCCCUUGUCUUCAGAUGGGAACGGAGUGUGAAUGGCCUUCCUGAGAGAGAGUGGGACCUGUUCCCUUGUUUUCUUGUAACCACCCUUGGACCUGACCCAGCAAACAGUCUAGCCCAGGAGAAAUCUAAACUACUGAUGCAGCCCUCAGAAUCUUCUCCUGCCCCACCAACUCUGAAGCACCUUCUCCUGGACUGUAGGAACUGCCCCAGCUUCUCCUUCUCCCCUCUGAUGUGUCAAAUUAUGCCCCGCACCUUGGAGAACCUACCUGAGACCUCCCCAAGAAGAAGAUCAUGAUCAUGAUCUGCUGUGUCAUCCUUGCGAUCAUCUUAGCUUCUACUAUUGGGGGCAUAUUUGCCUGAAAAAACACAAAACAAAACAGUCCUCACAGAUGGAUCCUCACCUGGCAUUUUCAAUUCUUCUUCCACCUCUGUGGUGCCACCGCUUCUCCGCUGCAGAUUCCUCCAAAGCUCUUCUUUCCAUUGUGAAACCUCUUAGGACCCAGGACCUCAACCACCUAGCAGUUAGAAGUUACGCAAAAGGAGGUUUACAAAAAUAUGGACUUGGAUGGCAGGCAGGGGUGAAGGAACAGGGAGUACAGCACUGCGUAGCAGGUUAGGAGGAUGGUUAAAGGAGGAGACUGCAGGGUAGAGGAGAAAGCAUAGGUAUCUGUUUAGGAAAUAAACUUGGAGCCAGAGCCCACGCUGACGUUAUGGCUGAAGAUCUGAUUUUAACUGCCGGGAGUCAGUCAGGAUCAGGGCACUUGUUACUUCUGCUCUUCCAGUUCUAGGUCUCACCUUUGACCAACGCUCUGUCUCCUUCCUUCUUCAGGGUCCAACAUUCUCCGAGGUGAUUGUCUAACGAUAGGCCCCAGGCACAUCUCCCUCGCUGCUGUGUCCCCAGUGCUUAGCACAGUGCCUGCCGCUUAUAGCUGCUCAAGAAUCUGUUGACUUUAUCUGAAAUUAAGCUCUGAUUUCUGCUAUGGCCGAGGCCUUGGACUUGCCUCUUAAACACUUUAAGGCAUCAGUGGGAAAUGGGCUGUGUCACAGGCCGUUUAGAAAUGCCUGGGAAUGGUCGAUCCACCCACGCAGAAGCAGAGCAGGCCCCACUUUCACAACAUACACUUUAAAGUCCUUUUUUUACGGGAGGUGGUGAUAAGAGUUCUGUCAACGGCCUCUUACUUUGCAGAGAUGGCUGGCCCCAGGAUUGUGGUUCAGUAAUUAAACGUGGACCCCAAAAGAAACACGUUAUGCUGUGAUUGAACACCCAACAGUCACGAUUACCAUGCUCUGUGAACCCUAACAAAGAAGAGGUGACAAAGUUAGGUCAGAAAAACGAGGCUGUCACUCACACCCCUUCUGAUUCACGUUGCCGGCUGAAACUGGCUUUGUUGGCCGGCAACUUGUGUACAAGAAACUGUUCCAAACACUGUCCCCGAUUCAAGGUUCAGGGGUGUUCUAAUGCAACUUAGUGAUUAGUUAUAGUAUAAGAGGUUUACUAAAAAUAUAUUAAAAAAUCACGGUAUACAAUUCUCAAGGACCACACAACUGCUUAAAUUUGUACUUUUGAAAGUAAAUUAUUUUCUUUGCCGGAGGUCUUACUUUUUAAGAAAGUGGGAUUUAAAAAAUUGACAUUUUAGGCAGUGUGCUGUUUUCUGCCCACUUGCAAAGCAAAUGGUUUAAUAUUUUUCCUAUCAAUCUGUAUUUCCUUUGGUUUGAAUACAGGAUAGAAACCAUUGCUGGCUAGCUCUGAAAAAAUAGAUGAAUUCUGUUAAAGGCAAACAGGGAGCUGGAACCAUGGGGCUUGGAUCACCCAGGGCCCUCGUUCAUUCAACAGUAAGAUGUGAGUGCUGUGCGGCAACUGCACUGUGCUGGGAUGUGUAGGGACACAGAUAUAGAGCCAAAUACCCCCCAUCCCCAGAGGGUUUCAGGCCUAGCAAAGACCACACAAUUCAGGUUUUGUUUCUAUCAGUUCCUUUUGGUAAAAGGCAAGGGUAUGUCUGUUGCCGUAUUGUCCAACAUCCCCCCUUCUAAGAUUGAGAGAAGAUGGGUAGCUGGGCGUAAAUAAAUACGUUGAAUCAAUUAA